GAAACAGUCCAUUUUACUUCAGAGAUCUUAUCUCUAGGUCUGGGUCUCUCCUGAACUUUGCUGAUAUAUACAUUUUUAUUCUUUCCAUCUUCUCGAAGAAGAGGAGUGGAUCCAGAACCGAAGGCAGCUUCCUGGGAGGCCAGAGCAGUACCUUCUUCAAAGGACAGGCAUCUCUUGAGGAGGGCUGAGGAUAUUUAGUCCCAGCUGCAAUGCAGGAGCAGCAGCUUGCAACAGCAGUCACGGUAAAGGUUACUUGGAAUGCCUUGCUCGGCUGCAUGGUUUUCCAUUAGACCACAUGUUCAGGAGAGCUGUUUAUGUGAGUUCUAGACCAACCUCAUUUCCCUCCACCUCAUCCUCUUAAACUGUUUCAAAGUAUUCAAUGGCUGCCUUAUAAUUUAAGAAGAAAUUUUCCUGUGAAUAGUUAUAUUGUUUCUAAUUAUUGGCUUUUUACCUACCAUGAUGCCUUAAACAUCCCUGGGUAUACCUCUAGGGGCAUGUGUGCAAGAUUUGUUUUAGAAUGGGUGGUGAGAUGUGGUAUCUCUGGGCCAUCAAGUAUUUAAAAUGUUACCAGAGCCUGCCCCAUUGCAGUGGCCGGACUCCAAAGCUGCCAGACUAGUGCCCCGUGUGAGAUUCCUUAUUUUCCCACACCCUUUAUGGUACAUUCUGGCAAGUAAGUCCUAAAGCUGCAUUUCUUCACUAAAAAUCUAAUCAUUUUUUUUUGGGGGGGGGGACUAAUUUUUCACGGUUUCAGUUACCUGUGAUCAACCCCAGUCUGGAUCCUCUUGAUCCUCCUGAUGAUGUUAAUGGAUUGUCAGAAGAUGAACAACAGGAACUUGGCAGGUGGAGGAACUAACCCAAGAUCAUGGAGUCUGAAGGUGAUAGAUCUUGACCAGAACCUCGGUCUCUGCCAUGCUGUCCAGUGGGUUUGCACUCCCAGCACUGCCCAGCACCCUCCCCUUACUAAACAUAACAGAAGGGGUCAUCUAAAGCCGCAAAAUGUCUGUGCAAGAAAAGGCAGGUCCAGGAACAAUUCACACUCAUUCUUCCUGAGAACAAAAGAAGGAUCUGUAGGGGAAGAAUUUCAGGAACUUCAGUGAAGCAUGUGCAACAUUCCAAGACAAGUCCAAUUCCCUUCUAGGCACUUGUAUCAGCAUGUUAAUCUCUCUUUCCCAUUUCCCUCUCUCCCCCUCCACCCCGGACUUAGCAUCACAUCACCAUCAUCUGUCUUUGGACAUCUACAGGAGCCUCCUAUGUGGCAUCUGCCCUCAGACCCAUUCUCCUCACCAAAGCAGAAGACAUGUUUCUAGACAUACACCUGAUCAUGUAUGUUCCCAGGAUGGGCCCCCACAGCUCUAAGGGCUUGGGCUGAGCCCCUUCAUAUGCCCUAUGAGAUUGGGCCGGAGCUGGGCUUUCCUUCCACUUUCUGCUCAAGCCCCCUAUUCCCGUCAGACGGCACUUCCUUCAGUCUGCAAAACGGACACACUGUCCCCUCCCUCUGAACUUUCAAUCUGCCCAAGUCCUUCUCAUCCUUUCAGAUUCAGCUUGUCACUCAGCUCUUCCCAGAAGCCUUUUUGCAUCUUUCACUCCACUUUUUCCCCCCGUGGCACCCUGUGCCUCUUCCUAUAGCAUUUCUCAUGCAGUAUUAUAAUGGUGGUGUCCUUGCCUAUAGGUCCCACUAGAACCUGGGCUUCCUGAGGACAAUCCCCCUGUCUCUUUGGCUCAGGGUGAUGCUGGUUACCUGGCACAGAGCCCAAGAUGAGAGUUACUGAUCGAAGAUAAAUACAGAUGCUGGUUGAAACUGAGCAUUCGGAUGCUGCUUUUGGUCAUAACCCAAGAGGAACUUGUAGGUAGAGGGAGGAGAUAGUUAUUAAAGGCAGAAACAUUAGGAACAUUUCCAGAGAUGGUGAGAUUGCUUUAGAGGGCCAUGAGGAGGAGAAAGCAGUAGCAUGACUAUGGGAAGGGGAGGAGUUAAGAAAGAGGGACUGAGAUGAGGGAGGAGAGGAUAUUAAGGUAACUGAACGAGGAGGCCAUUAGACCGAGGUGGCUCGUAACUACAGAAUGCCUUGUAACUACAGAAGCGCACCAAACCCUAAGCCAGAGUCAGUGCACUCAAAUCCCAGAAAAUGAAGCUUAAGAACCAAGCACAGUCAAAUAGGGUUUCCCAAGUACGUCAACUGCUCAUGCUACAGCCAAUCAAAUAAUUUCCUUGCUUGAGUUCCUGUCUUCUCUAUAAAAUCCUCUCCCCUAGCUCCUGUUGGAGGAGCGUCUCCAACCACCUUGGGUUUGGCUCUGCUCCAUUCUAAUGAUGCAUGCUCAAAAUAAACCCUUGAAAAUGUCGAUGGGGUACCCGGGGGGCUCAGUGGUUGAGCAUCUGCCUUUGGCUCAGGUCAUGAUCCGGGGUCUUGGGAUCAAGUCCCACAUCAGGGUGGGAGCCUACUUCUCCUUUUGCCUGUG